AAGGAGCAAAGGAUAGUGAAAGCAGAAGAGUGGGAUUCGUUUAUGGAGACUCUUCGUAAGCCAUUGCCUGCUGCUUUCAGAGUUAAUUCCAAUGGUCAAUUUUGCGAUGAUCUUCGACUCAAGUUAGAGAAUGAUUUCAUGAACUCUUCAGGCUGAGGCUGUAGAGAGUGGUGAAUUGGAGGCUAUCAAGCC